UAUUUUCAUAUAGGGUUCCCUU
rnacentral:siRNA from 1 species